rnacentral:rRNA from 1 species
CCUACGUGUGGCAGCAGUGAGGAAUAUUGGUCAAUGGGCGCGAGCCUGAACCAGCCAAGUAGCGUGAAGGAUGACUGCCCUACGGGUUGUAAACUUUUUUUAUAAAGGAAUAAAGUGAGUCACGUGUGCCUUUUUGUAUGUACUUUAUGAAUAAGGAACGGCUAACCCCGCGCCAGCAGCCGCGGUAAUACGGAGGUUCCGAGCGUUAUCCGGAUUUGUUGGGUUUAAAGGGAGCGUAGAUGGGUUGUUAAGUCAGUUGUGAAAGUUUGCGGCUCAACCGUAGAAGUGCAAUUGAUACUGGCAGACUUGAGUACAGUUGAGGUAGGCGGAAUUCGUGGUGUAGCGGUGAAAUGCUUAGAUAUCACGAAGAACUCCGAUUGCGAAGGCAGCUUACUAAACUGCCACUGACAUUGAUGCUCGAAAGUGUGGGUAUCAAACAGGAUUAGAUACCCCAGUAGUC